CCUGAUCUUAUCCAAGGAUUUCAAAAAGACACUUAAAGUUUAGAUACGACCUAUUACCCCACGAUUGAUUUUUAAUCCGUUGUAAAUACACAAUUUUAACCAUAUUGUUUAGUAACCCAUAGGCGCGUGGUUGACACUCUCUCUUUAAAUAAUAAUUUAUUUUCUCUUUCCUCUUCUUCCAUAUUCACCUUGCUCAUACCUCAAGAAGAAGAUUAUUUCAGAAAUCAAAAUUACUAAAGGUUUUUUCUUUUGUUCAUAAUGUGGACUGAUAAGGAAAAAUUACUUCCCCAAGAACCUGAAGAGAAAUUUAUUAAUAUUCAUAAUAUCCAACUCAAAUCCAUAAGAUUAGUCAAGAAAGUGAUGCAUUUGUUCAUGUUAUUGCUUUAAUCAUUGGUAUCUUGAUUAGCUGCCACAGUACAAUAUGGGGGGUGCGGAUAACUUGGAUAACUUAAAUAGAUCUAUUAUUGAUCCAAUGGAUCUAUUUUUGUUUAUGCGUGGAUAUUUCUUAACUUCUCUAAUCAUUUUUAUUUUUAGUUUAUUUAUUUCAAUUUUAUUAGUAUUCAUAUUUUGGGGGGUGAUCGGAUGGUAUUUGAUUAAAUGCUUUACUGUAAUAUUCUUUAGUUUUUUCUCUUAGUCUUUGUAAUUCUUGUAUAUUAUUUUGGAGAUAUUCUAAAUAUUCUAUAUCUUUUGUUCUAAAAUAUUCAAUUAAAUUCUCUUUCAUAAGUAUUCCUGUUAAUCUUAUUUCUUCCAUACCUUGUCUCCAAUAUUUUAAAUACUCAUAGUCUAUCAUUUUAUCCUUAAGUAGUUGUGAUACUGCAAAUUUCUUUGUAAUAAUUUAUUCUAAUUGUACUACAUCUGAUAUUAAAUUCUAGGUUAUCUAUUUCAUUAUUUAUCCUGUCUUUUUCGU
rnacentral:lncRNA from 1 species